CCCUACUAGGGGCGGAGGUGCUUUGCCUGGGUCCUGCGGGGAGCAGCUGGCUGGAUAAGUCCUAAUCAAGGCAAGAGGUGAUCCUGCCUGACCCCGAGCCCAGUGGCCCCAGAGGAUGACAGCCUCCGCUGCAUGUACUGUAACCUCACAGAGGCAGGAAGAAGUGGGGAGGGCAAGGCCACCCGGCAGAGCUCCCUUGCCCAGACCUGACCACAUGGCCACUUUUCCUGCGCAGGAGUAUGGGAGCGCAAGCAUCCAGCAAAGGAGAACAGACGCAGAACGUGGGCUGCCCCUCGGAAAGAAGCAUGAGCUUGAGCAAGAUGGUUCUCUACUGCUGACGGUCUUGCCCAGACAGAGGCUCGGCUGGAAGCCAUGUGCCAUGAGCCACUAGCAGCCGUAGAAAGAAUGCCUCCACCCUGAAGAGGAGAUCUGGGCUGUAUAUUAGAGGGUCUGCUCCACUUUUCUACCUAAUAUCAACAGGUGCGGACAAUUCCACAAUAAACUUUUUUUAAA